AACGAACGCUGGCGGCGUGCCUAACACAUGCAAGUCGAACGAUGCCGUCGGGGCUAGUUCCGCACGGGUGCUUACCGACGGGUAACCUGCCCUUAGGUUCGGAAUAACUCACCGAGAGGGGUGCUAUGACCGCAUAGUCUCUUCCGACCAACGAGUUAUCGCCUUUGGAUGGGCCCGCGUUGGAUUAGCUAGUUGGUAGUGUAAAAGCCUACCAAGGCGACGUUGCUUAGCUGGUCUGGGAGGAUGAUCAGCCACACUGGGAAUGAGACACGGACCAGAAUCGGACGGAAGGCAGCAGUGGGGAAUAUUGGGCAAUGGGCGAAAGCGUGAUCCCGCCAUGCCGGGUGAGUGAUGAAGGCCUUAGGGUUGUAAAGCUCUCUUAGCCGGGAUGAUAAUGACAGUACCGGGAGAAUAAGCUCCGGCUAACUCCGUG
rnacentral:rRNA from 1 species